rnacentral:lncRNA from 1 species
AUCCUACAGGAACUGAUGCUAAAGGAGACUGUUGUGAUUCACCAGUAAAUACUCCUGGUUGUACUAUAGGAACAUGUGAUCAUUUAUUUAGGAUAUGUUUAUUGGAAAGUACAUCUCGGUAAGUAGUAUUAUCGUCUUAAGGUAUUAAAAUCGUCUUAAGGUAUUAAAAUCGUCUUAAGGUAUUACAAAAUUUAUAACAUUUAUGGUAGCAAUUUGAUUAAGUGCUCUUGUGUUCUGAUUUAUUAUACGUUCCUCCAUGUUAUUCCAUGUUACUUGGGUUUUUUUAUUAACAAUGAUAGACAUUAAAAUGGUCAGGAUUUGUGUCUGUAUUUGCAAAUACACAUUUAGGUUCUUAAGGAGGCUUUAGGGUAUAAAAAAAUCAGGAAAAAUCUAAACAUUUUGUUUUCAUUACAAGUUUUAUUUAUUACACUGUUAGUUGUUACUUUAUGUUAACAGUUAUACAGUUAAGUCGGCCUCAUAUCUUGACUUACAUCUAGAAAUUGACAAUGAGGGUCGCUUGAAAACAAAACUUUACGUCAAAAGAGAUGAUUUCAGCUUUCCAAUUGUGGACUUUCCAUUUCUAAGUAGCAACAUUCCAGCAGCACCUGCAUACGGUGUGCAUAUCUCCCAAUUGAUUCGAUAUUACCGUGCUUGCUUUUCCUAUCAUGAUUUUCUUGAUAGUGGGUUGUUGCUCACAAGGAAGCUAUUAAAUCAAGAGUCCCAAAUGGUGAAGUUGAAAUCAUCUCUUCGUAAAUUUUACGGACGCCAACACGAGUUGGUUGACCGUUAUGGAAUAACCGUUUCACAAAUGAUAUCGGAUAUGUUCCUUAUGUCGUAUCUACAAUCCCCUUCCCUUUCAUAAAUGUGACCUACCGAAUUAGACUAUUUACCGGAUUUGUUAUCUCAUAAUCAACACGACGGGUGCCUCAUGUGGAGCAGGAUCUGCUUACCCGUCCGGAGCACCUGAGAUCACCCCUAGUUUUUGGUGGGGUUCGUGUUGUUUAUUCUUUAGUUUUCUAUGUUGUGUCAUAUGUACUAUUGUUUGUCUGUUUGUCCUUUUCAUUUUUAGCCAUGGCGUUGUCAGUUUAUUUUCGAUUUAUGAGUUUGACUGUCCCUCUGGUAUCUUUCGUCCCUCUUUUAUGAUAAUGGUCAAAAAUCAACCCAAAAAUCUAUUCGUUUUGGCCCCAGAUGACUUUUAAAUUGUUGAUAUCACUGAAAAAGCUCCAAAAUGCCUCCCUUUAGUGAAAAAUUGUCAUUUUUUUUUGCAUUAGAAUUGUAAGAUCUUUUUUUUUUUUUAUAAUUUAGUUUUUUUUAUUUAGAUAUUGCCUUUUUAUCUCAUAUUAGUUCAACAGAAAAAAGUAUCUUAACAGAAAUGCAUGCUUCUUUCGAAGGCAGAUUGUGAGCUUAAAUGAACGGUGACCCCAUAUUUUUAUUUUAUUUUUCUAUUAAGUAUAGGAUAAAGUUUAUUUAUAGAAAAAAAAGCAAAGUCCUUUAUUUGAACAAAAAAUGAUUUAUACCCGCGAGCCCCCUUAAAGGCAUUUGUGAUUUACAGUACUGAGUUUCCUGGUUUAUAUGUUCAACAAACUUCAUGCGACUAAUAAUCCCUAUUGAUAAAAUAAGGAAAUAGGACUCAUUAUAAUCUAGUUAGAAAAAACAUGUAUUUACUGUUGAUACAUGCUAAUUUUUUUUAUAUUUCAGUUCAAAUACCAGUAAUUGUGUACAGUCUAUUGAAAUAACAUCUUCAGAUCAGAAUGUUGUCAAGUUUGACCACAGUCAUCAAAAUGUACAGUUUGUAUUUGAUACUUGGAAGGUAGGGCAUGUUCUCACAUUUUGUGAAAAGUAACCUUACAAAAAUGUAUCCCUGCUGACUCAAAAGAUAAUAAAAUUAUACGUAGACUUUUAAAUGUGCAAAUGUGCAUACAGAGUAGUUGACAUAACAAUUUGACAUAGACAUAUUUCUACCACAACAUUGAUUUUUUUUUUAUUAUUAUCAAAUUUUAAUUAAAUCCUUAGUACAUGUGUUUGCAUCACUUGUCAUCGGUGUAAAAAAAAAUAAUGAUCAUGAAAUUUAAUUAGCCAGUUGAGAUUAAGCAUAUAGCCUCUUACAUUAAGUCAUAUGUAAGGUUAACUGCAUAGCGAUCCCAUAACAAAUUAUCCUCAUGUUAAGAAGAUUUACCAAAUAGUUAUUCAUUUGCUAUCAAAUAAAUCCAAGGAGUUGAUUAGAAAACUGAUGCAUGUUUGAAAUAGGGGAUUUAAAAACAUGCGUCGCAUAAUUUUGGCUGCUGGAUGCCAAUUAUUGUAACUUUUACCUAUUAUGAUUAUUUGCGUUGCUAACCAAAUGUUGCCAAUAUAUUGGAACUAUUUAAAACUGUCAGACAUGUCGGUGUUUAGUCAGCUAUAAAACCAGAUUUUACCUACCAUUUUCUUCGUAAAAUACCUGGACCAUAUCAGGAAUAUGACCGUAAUUGUUCACUCGUUCCAUUGCUUGAUAUCGACUGAUGCUGUCAUUUUAUUGGACUUUCUAUUUUUGAGUAUACCAUAGAGUUUUGUUCUACUUUUUACCUGAAUGUAUGUAUGUUUACUUUCUCUCUAUCUUCUAUAGUUUUUUCUAUGUUGCGAAAAAUUGAUAACCAACAUGAAUUACGGGCAAUAACUCAUAAAAAUAGUCGACCAUAAAACCUACUUUAAAGGGUCAAGCAACAAUUACCGCAAUUCGACUUUUUGUUGAUCAUUUUGCAAUUUAACGUUUUUUUUCAGGGAGAAGCACCUAUCCAGAUUUUGGUAUUUGACUCCAAUACAGAUGAUAAGCAGAAUGUCUUAAUUGAUCAGUUCCUUGAUAUAUACAAUUCAACAAAGGCAGGGUUCAACCAAACCAGCACUGUUGCAGUUAACCUCAAUCUUAUUGGUUCAAGAAGUAAAAAUCCUACAAGGUAAGGUUAGACAUUGCAUUUUCAAGGAUUUCAAUUGAUAGGGUUUGCCAAAUGUGUGCAGUCUUUUAAUACAUUAUAUUUUUUUUAAUUGUAUGUUGAACAAGCUUAAGGAUUUACUAACCCUUUAUACACAUUAGUGAAAUAGUUAUGAAGAUUUUGAAGACGAAUGAAAAUAGUAUCAUAAUGUGUAAAAACAACCGCUUUGUUUCUAUCAUAACCUCACCUUUAAUGAUACAGCUGUGUAAGUCACUUAGUCAAUUUGAUUUUUUUUAAAACUGUAUUCUUGAGUUUCACGUCUGUUUGAAAGAUAACGGUCGAAGUAACUUAAUCAGGAAUAUGACAGUUGGUAUCCAUUUGUUUGAUUUGUUUGAGCUUUUGAAUUUGCCAGUGGAUUAGAGACUUUACGUUUUGAAUAUUCCUCAAGAGUUCAAUAUUUUUGUGAUUUAACCUUUUCAAGAUUUAUAACCAAUAUUUGACAUUAAAUAUGUUUAUUUGAUAUUUUAUAUAAACCUUACAUGAAUAUGAUGUGGCGAUAACGUUAGUGAAACGGCUAUUUUAGAAAUAUAUAACUGAAAAAUUUUAUUAUGGAUUUUUUUUAGUUUGAGGUUUUCAUUGUCAGUUUAUUGUGACCCACAGUACUAUGGAAGUGAUUGCUCUGUUAAAUGUGUGCCAACAAACAAAUGUGACGGUCAUCAUACUUGUGAUCAUCAGGGAAGCAAGGUCUGUCUGAGUGGAUGGAGGGGGACAGACUGUACAGAACAGGUUCCAGGCAGUGAUGUCGACUGUAGUGUAUACACAGGUAAGUUGACUUUAAGGGCUGUGUUGACCAAGGUUUGAGUUUUAUUUGUUUGAUAAUAUUUUAUUUAUAUAGUAUUCCAUAUAUGUCAACUGUAGAUCCACAUUUUUUCUUCUUUUUUAUAGCAACUACGAUUCUUCAAUUUCAUUUUUUACAAAAGUUUACAAAUAGUUACAGCACAAAAAUUUAUUUUUAACAGAUAAACGAACAGAAAACGAACAAAUCACAAAUGUUUAUUUCUAGGAUCGAUAAAAAUGAUUAAUAGUGAGAAAACAAAUAAAAUACACUUUUUUUUAUCGAAACUAUAAAUGCACGAGUUACGGACGUUCAUGGAAUCAAUUUACAAAGAUGAGAGAUACAAUUGGAGAAUUCAAAACUCAGACGUUAAACUGAGAAUGUCGUAGCAUAUACGAAAGAUGUCAAAUGACAAACACAUAAACUACAUGGACUAAGCAACAUACAACACUAUAUCAGGGGUGAUAUCAGAUGUUCCGUAAGGUUAUGUAGAACCUGCUCUACUAUUUGCUCACUUGUUACUCAUAAUAAGAACAAAUCGGUGGAAGUGUAAAUUUAGGGUGUCACAAUCGAGAAAAAGUCCAAAUCUAUUAUUUUGAUUUUUCAUCACAGUCCUCAAUGAUGUUUUAGAACUCUGCAAUGCAUAGCUUGUAAUCAUAUUAUUGUUUGUACUAACCCCAGUGAAAGAACAUUGCAGCGUUUAGUAGCAAGGGAGUAUGAAGACUCUCUCUAGUAGGCCACGUGUGCCAAUGACAAGUCAGAAGUGCUAUUUUUGUGUGUUCUUAUUCGCUGCAAUUGUUUUUGUUUGUUAUAUUUUGCUAUCUCUUAUCUUUUUAUGAUGAUAGAUAAAACAGAGUUUUCAUCAAGUGACUGGGUAGGAAUGUAUUCCUGCGACAAUAAACAACAUAGUUAUCCAUUCUUCUUGAAUGCCACAAAACCUAAAGAUUCACUGACUAUUGCUGCAACUGUUUCCUUUAGUAACUUUACAGUCCAAGUAUAUGGGACAUAUUCAAGUUGGAGUAAAGCAUUAGCUUUUCAAGUGGACACAUCACUUGCAUAUGAAGGUCACAAUUUAACACAGAUUUCUUUGGAAACCAGAGAAAUUAGUACAUCGGGUAUGAUUGGACAGUUAUCUUUAUAUAAAGCAGAUGGAGGAAAAUUGACCUGUAUUGUUGAUCCUUUGAGUUUAGAAAAAGGUAUUAUAAUCGUUGCUUAUAGUUAUUGUUUCUAUCUACCAUCUAAUUUACAGUGUUUUGAGGAAGAUUGAAUUCACCUAGUGUCAUGAUGAAUUUGUCCCUGCGACAAUAAUCAGCAUAUACCUCAAUUUUAACAAAUUGUUUAGCUGUUGAUGUAACCAAGGACUGACAAACUAAUACAAACUAUCAACAUGAUGCAUCAGUGCAUUCAAUCAGUUUAAGAAACACCAACCCAAGCUGGGUAUCACCAUAAACAUGUCAAGUAUUCUUCAAAAUUUUCUUCUAGUAAUUUAUAUAAAUAAAACAAUACUUAUUAUGUGGUUUUAAAAAGGAAGUCCACAUGCUCUUAUUUAUCGUAGUAAUAAUGACAUAUGAGGAAAACAUGGUCGUUGGUUCAUGUUUGUCUUUUUAUCCCCUUUAAGCUACAAGCUCGCCUAAAUACAAAUUGAUGUUUCUAAAUAUGAAGAUCACGAACCAUAAUAUCUUGAUUAUAAACAUUUAGAAAAGUAUACCUUACAUCAACACGAUAUAUGUAAGUUCAAAACUUGUAUUUUAACAAUUCGAGUAGGAAAAAGUCGCAUACAGCUGUGUAAAGUUGGUUGACAUUGAAAUUAUAAACACACAUUAAGAAAGUGAAGCUCGGAAGUGUUUAUUCAGACUAUCCGUAGUGAGGGUAAGCGUGAAUUACAAAUAUUGAUGAAAAUAUUAAUGAAGAGGCUGACACAUGGUUGCAUUUUGAACCUCAAUCAACAGCCUGGACCCUUGGAGUAUACAUGCUUUCAACUUGUCAAAUAGUCCCCUUGCUGUACAAAACUAAUGCAUUCAUAAAUAAAGGUCUAAUAAGACCCAAGGAACACAUCAAGACACGUUUAUAAGUUAAAAAAAUGAGUAUGAUAAAAGUAUGUCUCUUUAAAGGCAUGAUAAGUAUAGAUUAUCGGGUUUUCUACACAUUGAUAUCGUAAGAUAUUAGCCGCGAGCCACAAUGUGAACCUUUUUGGCGAGUGAGCGUAGCGAACGAGCUAAAAAGUUUCACAUUCUGUCGAGCGGCUGAUAUUUUACGAUAUCUAUACGAAGAAAACCCGAUUAUCUUUUUAUCGUUCUAUUACUGGUCUUUUUUUCUCUACUUAAGACAGUUUUAUGCUUGACAAAAGCAAGCUUGAUAACGUCUCCUCUCGCAUUAUGACGUCACUGAUAACUUCUCCUCUCACAUUGUGACGUCGCUGAUAAUAUGCCUGGUCUCUUUUUGAAGUCUUGAUACGAGAAUUACGGAACAACAGAGCAGGGUGAUAAAGGCGGAGGGAAGGACAAUAAGUACAAGAAGAAGAGAAACAGUUGAAAAGAUUUAUGACCAAAAUGGACCUAAACAAAAGCUAAAUCCAUCUGAGGUCAAUUUUUCCUUAGGGAUUUGAAACUUUAGUAUCUAACUUUUUGAGCUUUUUGACGAAUAUUAGAAAGGUUUGUAAUGUAUCUCCCUCCAUUAAAUCUCUGUUUCCUUGCACGACACAUUCAUAUUAAUACUUAUGAGGAUAGAACUUUUUUUUCUGAUAAUAGUGGUCAGCUCCUUUUGGAAUUCGGAAUGCACUGUUUUCCAUUAGUUUUUUAUUUGUGCGCUUGUAGUGUUUUAUCAGAUUUCUAUGGCCGUCAUACUUUCUAUAUAUUUUACUGCAGGAACUAAGGUGCACAACUUGAACAAAAUUUAUAUAAGAAAAAAUUCGAAACUAAAGUUACUUGCUGAAUUUAAUCCAUUAUUUUACUAUUUUAUGGGUUAUAAAUCUAGCAAGUCUAUUAUUGAUCUACGUAUGUCCCGUACAAUUAUUGAAGAUUUCAAGGUUAUAAUUAUACUAUCUAGUCUUUACUAUAUAUCAAAUAUAUAACCGAAUGAAACUGAUUAGAGUACGCAUUACUUGUCGAGUAAUCAGCAUUAUUAGAGUUUGAGCAAGACAUAGGUAUUGUUACUUUAUUAAAUGAAAUGUGUUUUAAUUAACAUAGAUUACAAAAACAAAAGCACUAGCACUAGCAAGCUAUAAAAUAUAUGAAAUUUGCAUGUCUAUUCUAUUAUAAUAUUGUUUUGUUAUUUCAGCAUAUUUUGAUGGAUGUGACUUUAAAGUAAAAUGUGUGAGAUAUGGAAAGAGUAAAGUGAACUAUUACUGCUGUUGUAACGAUGGUAAUGUAUAAUAACUGUUGGCAAAAGUAUGAAUUAUUCGAAAUACUAAGGAAUUUCUUACCCCAUGCAUAGAUUACCUUAGCUGUAUUUGGCACAACUUUUUGGAAUUGUGGGUCCGCAAUACUUCUCAACUUUAUACUUGUUUGGCUUUCUAACUAUUUUGAUCUAAGCGUCACUGGUGAGCCUUGACGAAACGCGCGGCUGGUGUAUCAAAUUAUAAGCCUGGUACCUUUGAUAACUAAUUAUAUAAUACACACAUGUAUAUUGAAAACAACAAUUUGAUCUUUUUAACUUCGCAUAUUCAUUUUUUUUUUUGUCUUAAUGAAAUCGAAAUAAUAGGUUGCAGGCAAACACUUACGAAAACUUGCUUUUACAAUUCAAAGAUCUUUCAAUAUCGUAAUUUUCUUGAUAGAGAAAUUUCGACUUCCAGUGUGCUCUUUAACUAAGGUCUCCAAGUGAUGAAGUUCAAGUCACCCUUUCAAAAAAUUGACGGUCGCCUUCGCGAUUCGGUUGCCCAUUUUUAUAGAGAUGCGGAAAAUAUCAUAAGUCGAAAAUAAACUGACAAUGGUAUGCCAAAAAAGGAAAAGUACAACAAGAGUACCAACAGUAUACAAAACAAAACAAGGAAAACUGUCUCAAACCCCCGAUGUGGAGACUGUCGGUGGAUUAUCUUUGGAAAUCAUAUGAAACAGAAUUCAAACAAAACCAUCUCAAAGACAAUGCGAAAAAACGUCUUGCAUUUAUUUUUAAAUACACUAUCUGAUAUAUUGAUGAUGCUUUGACACUCAAUAACCCACAUUCCAGUGAGGUCUUGUAUCUCAUUAAUCCAAGUUAACAUAAAUAAAGACAACAGUAGUAUACAGCUAUUCGAAAUUCAUAAAUCGAUUGAGAUAAAACAAAACAAAUCCGGUUUACAAGCUAAGACUGAGGGAAACGCAUCAAAUAUAAGAGGAAAACUACGACACAACAGAAACACAACAUUGAAAUGUAACACACAGAGAAACGAACUAUAAGCUUUAACAUAAUGCCGUAACUAGAUGAUCUACCUCACAAAUUGUUCUUUUCCUAGAUUUUGACACAGAUGGACGAUUUCAAACUAGAAUCACCUGUGAUAAAAGUAAUGAUUUCAACUUUCCAAUUGUCAACUUUCCUUUCCCAUCUCUUAACAGUCACACACCAUCUGCCCAAGUUUAUGCCUUUACAUAUUUCAAUAAUACAUUAUAAUUUUGCAUUGUCAUACUAUACCAAUUUUCUUAGUAGAGGUGUGCUCCUGUUGUGCUACUUACACAAAAGCUACCAAGCAACAUUAUAGGAAGGAACGACUUAAAACGAUCCAUAUUAUUUUACAGUCGUUAUCAUGAAUUGGUUAUCUAAUGCCACAUUUGUUUUUCAGUUUUAGAUCAUAAAAUACCAGAAUAAUUGUUCUGUCUGUUAUUUUUAUUAUUAUCUCCAUUUUCCUAUUUUGACAUUUUGCCUGAAUGUUGAUUCCAUUGCGGGUGAUUCGUGCAUAACAGGAUACUCUAACCAUUUCGAUGCACCCAGUCUCAAUCGUUUUGGGAGUUCAUGGGAGUUCAUCUGGUUUUGUUUGUUAUCUUAGAUGUUCUUCUCAAUUGAUAUGAGUGAUAUGAACAUCGGUGAAUUGUUGCCUCCGUGUAUUCUUGCUCACAUUGGAUGUUUUGAAACGAGAUCAAAUUAGAGUAUAGCUUAUACAAUGUUGUAAUGUUGUAUCGGUAUGAACUGGAUUAUUUUUUAUUAUUUAGACCCAGUCAAAAUGAUUUAAAUUCUAUUUAUAGCGAUUAAAAGAAAAUUCACGACAUAACACGUAUAUGUAUAUAUAUACCUUUACAUUUUCGUCAUUUGAUGAAAAUAUUUUGAAAGGAUCGAAAAAUUUCAAAUUUCACUAUCUUAAACGAAUAAACUUAAAUCUAAAAUUAAGAAAAUUUGGUAUCUCCACAAAAAAAAGUGACAAAGCAAUGGCUUAUUAUUACAUUUUAGGAACAAUUGGUACAAGUUGUACUCAAUCAACCAUGCAUUCGAUAAGUACUACAAAAAUAAAUGCACAGACAAGCAACACAACUUCAGAUCUACCGCAAAGAACAACUAAACCAUAUGCCAAUAUAAUACAUAUAAAGCAAACAACAAUUGCACUUAAUACAAGAACUACAAGAGAAGGUCAUUAUACAGGAACUUCCGGUACGUAUACCUAAAAUUAUAGUCGUCCUGAUCUGGAAAUUAAAUAUAUAUUGUACUUGCAACACAAAGAUAGUUGAUUUUGUU